GAUCAUGGCUCAGGAUGAACGCUGGCGGCGUGCCUAACACAUGCAAGUCGAACGGAGUCGUUUUGGAAAAUCCUUCGGGAUUGGAAUUCUCGACUUAGUGGCGGACGGGUGAGUAACGUGUGGGCAACCUGCCCUAUACUGGGGAAUAAUCACUGGAAACGGUGACUAAUACCGCAUGUCAUCACGAGAAGGCAUCUUUUUGUGAGAAAAGGAGUAAUUCGGUAUAGGAUGGGCCCGCAU
rnacentral:rRNA from 1 species